GUGAGCUGGCGGACGGCUUCGGGUGCCAUGGCACCUGAGGAAACUCUGCCCACCACGCUGAACUGCAGCGCCUGCAAGGGCGCGGGGCGAGAGCCUUGGCUCCGGAACAGAAACGAAACGUCCAUCCGCAAGAUGGCGAUGAGGCGUGCUAAGUCGUUGAGGACGCGGUUGGGUGCGGUGAAACGUCCGACCUGCAGGGUGAAAGGGCAAAUAGGCGUCUAUGAUUUCUGCGGGAGGCGCGGGUAGCCCGUUUAGCUGAAUGCCGUCUCUGAACAGAAGGCGGGUUACGUCCAGCACAC
rnacentral:RNase_P_RNA from 2 species